AUUGAACGCUGGCGGAACGCUUUACACAUGCAAGUCGAACGGUAGAGGGGGCAACCCCUCGAGAGUGGCGAACGGGUGAGUAAUAUAUCGGAACGUGCCCAGUCGUGGGGGAUAACGUAGCGAAAGUUACGCUAAUACCGCAUACGAUCUAAGGAUGAAAGCGGGGGAUCGCAAGACCUAGCGCGAUUGGAGCGGCCGAUAUCAGAUUAGGUAGUUGGUGGGGUAAAGGCUCACCAAGCAAACGAUCUGUAGCUGGUGUGAGAGGACGACCAGCCACACUGGAACUGAGACACGGUCCAGACUCCUACGGGAGGCAGCAGUGGGGAAUUUUGGACAAUGGACGCAAGUCUGAUCCAGCCAUUCCGCGUGCAGGAUGAAGGCCCUCGGGUUGUAAACUGCUUUUGUACGGAACGAAAAGGUCUCUCUUAAUACGGGGGACUCAUGACGGUACCGUAAGAAUAAGCACCGGCUAACUACGUGCCAGCCGCCGCCGUAAUAC
rnacentral:rRNA from 1 species